UUAAAGUUAUGUCAGCUGCAUGUGUGAAAUGCUUGUCACAAGUUGUAAGAAAAGAUAAGGCAAAUUUUGUUUUGACUGCAAUUCUCACCCAGCAGUAAUUCCAAGCGUGUACAUCUGCAGACUGCAAGACGGGGGCGUAACUUGAAGUGGGCGUAACUUGAAGUAGGAGGCGUAACUUGAAGUUGUCCAAAUCACACAGAACCACGCGAGAUCUCAAAACGAUAAGUUGUUGUCAAUAUGGCGGCUUUAAUUAGGGCACAGAAUAUUGAUUACGUUUUAAGGGAGGCAGGGUUUUUAGGUUUUUAUGUGUGUGUAGAUAUUAAUGUUAGGGGACAAUGUGAGAGAUUUGUACGUUUUAGUAGGAAAACGUAUUAUCUGAUCCACACCGGAACAGAAGAGGGUGGUAAUGCACCAACAAGCUGGAUGUCAACCGCCGUUAAACUGGAAAGAAGACGAAUAUGACAGCUUGCUGUGAGAGACAAUGGGACAGAUGAGACACGUGUGUUUAUCUGCUGCAGAGACACUGAUGAAGGAUACUGCCAUUAAAGGAUUUGUAUCUUUUGUGGUGGAGCAGGACCUGCAAGGAAAGGUGAAAAAAAGGGAAAACCUGAAUAAAAAAAGAAUAAUGUAAUGACGUUUUGUAUUGUGUAUGUGUAUUUUUGUAGGACAUGAAAAUGUAGACUGGUGUGUGCACUGAGGAUGGAGAAGACCACAGCAUCAUCCUGGAAAUGAUCAAGAGUCACAGAUGAGACGCUCCAUCACUUGUUGUGGAAAUUCUAAUUCAAUAACAAUUUGUAGAGACUGAGAAUGAAAAACCAAACAGAGUUUUGCUUUAAUUCUCUGCAGAGAAUGA